UACGUAGGGUGCGAGCGUUAAUCGGAAUUACUGGGCGUAAAGCGUGCGCAGGCGGUUUGUUAAGCCAGAUGUGAAAGCCCCGGGCUCAACCUGGGAACUGCGUUUGGUACUGGCAAGCUAGAGUACGGCAGAGGGGGGUGGAAUUCCACGUGUAGCAGUGAAAUGCGUAGAGAUGUGGAGGAACACCGAUGGCGAAGGCAGCCCCCUGGGCCGAUACUGACGCUCAGGCACGAAAGCGUGGGUAGCGAACCGG
rnacentral:rRNA from 1 species